CGUCCGUAGCCGGCCGGAAAAGUCCUCCGUUAAAUCCAACGACCUAAUCGUUGGGCCGCGGGGGAUACUCUUCGGCUAGGGGGUGGAGGAGGUCGGCGGUAGUCCCGGAGUAGGAGCGAAAUCCAAUAAUCCCGGGAGGACCACCAGUGGCGAAGGCGGCCGACUAAAACGCGCCCGACGGUGAGGGACGAAAGCUGGGGGAGCGAACGGGAUUAGAUACCCCGGUAGUCCCAGCUGUAAACGAUGCAGGCUAGGUGUUGGGACGGCUACGAGCUGUCCCAGUGCCGCAGGGAAGCCAUUAAGCCUGCCACCUGGGGAGUACGGUCGCAAGGCUGAAACUUAAAGGAAUUGGCGGGGGAGCACCACAAGGGGUGAAGCUUGCGGUUUAAUUGGAGUCAACACCGGGAACCUUACCAGGAGCGACAGUUGUAUGAAGGUCAGACUAAAGGUCUUACUGGACUAGCUGAGAGGAGGUGCAUGGCCGUCGCCAGUUCGUGCCGUGAGGUGUUCUCUUAAGUGAGACAACGAACGAGACCCGCACUUCUAGUUGCAACCGGUUUCCCUCGGGAUUCCGGGCACACUAGAGGGACUGCCCUCGCUAAGGGGGAGGAAGGAGCGGGCCACGGCAGGUCAGUAUGCCCCGGAUCUCCUGGGCCACACGCGAGCUGCAAUGGCUGGGACAAUGGGAUCCGACCCUGAGAAGGGAAGGUAAUCCUCAAACCCAGCCUCAGUUGGGAUCGAGGGCUGCAACCCGCCCUCGUGAACAUGGA
rnacentral:rRNA from 1 species